GUGGGGAAUUUUGGACAAUGGGCGCAAGCCUGAUCCAGCCAUGCCGCGUGAGUGAUGAAGGCCCUAGGGUUGUAAAGCUCUUUCACCGGUGAAGAUAAUGACGGUAACCGGAGAAGAAGCCCCGGCUAACUUCGUGCCAGCAGCCGCGGUAAUACGAAGGGGGCUAGCGUUGUUCGGAAUUACUGGGCGUAAAGCGCACGUAGGCGGACAUUUAAGUCAGGGGUGAAAUCCCGGGGCUCAACCCCGGAACUGCCUUUGAUACUGGGUGUCUGGAGUAUGGAAGAGGUAAGUGGAAUUCCGAGUGUAGAGGUGAAAUUCGUAGAUAUUCGGAGGAACACCAGUGGCGAAGGCGGCUUACUGGUCCAUUACUGACGCUGAGGUGCGAAAGCGUGGGGAGCAAACAGGAUUAGAAACCCUGGUAGUCC
rnacentral:rRNA from 1 species